rnacentral:rRNA from 1 species
UACGGGGGGAGCAAGCGUUGUUCGGAUUUACUGGGCGUAAAGGGCGCGUAGGCGGCCAGCACAAGUCAGUUGCGAAAUCUCCGAGCUUAACUCGGAAAGGUCAACUGAUACUGUGCGGCUAGAGUGCGGAAGGGGCAACUGGAAUUCUUGGUGUAGCGGUGAAAUGCGUAGAUAUCAAGAGGAACACCUGCGGCGAAGGCGGGUUGCUGGGCCGACACUGACGCUGAGGCGCGAAAGCCAGGGGAGCGAACGGG